rnacentral:rRNA from 1 species
CGAACAGUAUGACAAUGAGCUUGAGGAUGCUGGCAGACAUCGCCACCCAUGCACAGGCGAUGGCCGACGAAGCGCAGGCGAUGGCGGCGGCGAUUCAGAUCGUGGUGGACGAUUGCGCAGAGCAGUUGGCCGCGAAGAAGGCCGAGAACGAAGCGGCGGGAAUCACCGGCAAAACGACGGGCGAUCCCGAAUGGGUUGCCGAGGCCGAGGCUUCCCGGGGGAAAGAGCCGAGACCGACAGCUAAGGUCCCCAAGUGUCUGUUAAGUGGAAAGGGAUGUGAGAUUUCAAAGACAACUAGGAUGUUGGCUCAGAAGCAGCCACUCAUUUAAAGAGUGCGUAACAGCUCACUAGUCGAGAGGUCUUGCGCCGAAAAUGUCCGGGGCUAAAACACACCACCGAAGCUACGGAAUUACCUAUGGUAAUUGGUAGAGGAGCAUCCUGCAAGGACGAAGCGUAAGUGAAAGCAAGCGUGGACGAAACAGGAGAGAGAAUGCCGGAAUGAGUAGCGAGAUAUAUGUGAGAAUCAUAUAGGUCGAAUGUCUAAGGUUUCCUGGGUAAAGCUGAUCUGCUCAGGGUAAGUCGGGACCUAAGGUCAGGACGAGAGUCGUAGCCGAUGGACAACAGGUAGAGAUUCCUGUACUGCGAUAAAUCAGAACUGUGGGGACACAGGAGGAUAGGGAAACCGGGGAAAGGAAAUACCCGGUCAAGCACAAAGGUUUGUUAGGUAGGCAAAUCCGCCUAACUUAUACUGAAGUGUGAUGAGGAGUGAAGAAGAGUAACGAAGUUUCCGAAUCCACACUGUCGAGAAAAGCCGCUAUUGUAUGUAUCGCACCCGUACCGCAAACCGACACAGGUAGACGAGGAGAAAAUCCACAGACCGACGGGAGAAGUGUUGUUAAGGAACUCGGCAAAAUGACCCCGUAACUUCGGGAGAAGGGGAACCAAUGCGAAUUGGUCACAGAGAAGAGGCGCAAGCAACUGUUUAGCAAAAACACAGGUCUCUGCUAAACCGUAAGGUGAAGUAUAGGGGCUGACACCUGCCCGGUGCCGGAAGGUCAAAAGGAGAGGUUAGCGCAAGCGAAGCUUUGAAUUCAAGCCCCGGUAAACGGCGGCCGUAACUAUAACGGUCCUAAGGUAGCGAAAUUCCUUGUCAGGUAAGUUCUGACCCGCACGAAAGGUGUAAUGAUUUGCGCACUGUCUCAACAACACGCCCGGUGAAAUUGAAGAACCAGUGAAGAUACUGGUUACCCGCAACAGGACGGAAAGCCCCCGUGCAGCUUUCCUAUAGCUUGAUAUUGAGACACGGUAUUUUAUGUAGAGGAUAGGUGGGAGACUAAGAGACUAAGGCGUCAGUUUUAGUGGAGUCAACCUUGGAAUACCACCCUUAAAAUAUUGUGUUUCUAACCUCGGACCAUUAUCUGGUUCAGGGACAGUGUCUGG